AUUGAACGCUGGCGGCAGGCCUAACACAUGCAAGUCGAACGAGUGGCGGACGGGUGAGUAAUGUCUGGGAAACUGCACGAUGGAGGGGGAUAACUACUGGCAACGGUAGCUAAUACCGCAUAACUUCGGGUGUGCCCAGAUGGGAUUAGCUAGUGGGUGGGGUAACGGCCACCCGAGGCGAAGAUCCCUAGCUGGUCUGAGAGGAUGACCGGCCACACUGGAACUGAGACACGGUCCAGACUCCUACGGGAGGCAGCAGUGGGGAAUAUUGCACAAGGGGCGCAAGCCUGAUGCAGCCAUGCCGCGUGUAUGAAGAAGGCCUUCGGGUUGUAAAGUACUUUCAGCGAGGAGGCGUUACUCGCAGAAGAAGCACCGGCUAACUCCGUGCCAGCAGCCGCGGUAAUAC
rnacentral:rRNA from 1 species